CCUACGGGGGGCAGCAGUGAGGAAUAUUGGUCAAUGGACGAGAGUCUGAACCAGCCAAGUAGCGUGAAGGAUGACUGCCCUAUGGGUUGUAAACUUCUUUUAUAAAGGAAUAAAACGAGGCACGUGUGCCUUUUUGCAUGUACCUUAUGAAUAAGGAUCGGCUAACUCCGUGCCAGCAGCCGCGGUAAUACGGAGGAUCCGAGCGUUAUCCGGAUUUAUUGGGUUUAAAGGGAGCGUAGAUGGGUUGUUAAGUCAGUUGUAAAAGUUUGCGGCUCAACCGUAAGAUUGCAGUUGAUACUGGCAGUCUUGGGUACAGUUGGGGUGGGCAAGGUUCGUGGUAUAGCGGUAA
rnacentral:rRNA from 1 species